GACGAACGCUGGCGGCGUGCUUAACACAUGCAAGUCGAACGGAAAGGCCCUGCUUUUGUGGGGUGCUCGAGUGGCGAACGGGUGAGUAACACGUGAGUAACCUGCCCUUGACUUUGGGAUAACUUCAGGAAACUGGGGCUAAUACCGGAUAGGAGCUCCUGCUGCAUGGUGGGGGUUGGAAAGUUUCGGCGGUUGGGGAUGGACUCGCGGCUUAUCAGCUUGUUGGUGGGGUAGUGGCUUACCAAGGCUUUGACGGGUAGCCGGCCUGAGAGGGUGACCGGCCACAUGGGGACUGAGAUACGGCCCAGACUCAUACGGGAGGCAGGAGUGGGGAAUAUUGCACAAUGGGCGGAAGCCUGAUGCAGCAACGCCGCGUGCGGGAUGACGGCCUUCGGGUGGUAAACCGCUUUCGCCUGUGACGAAGCGUGAGUGACGGUAAUGGGUAAAGAAGCACCGGCUAACUACGU
rnacentral:rRNA from 1 species